AAUUGUGUUGGCCAAAAGCUCAUUUGGGUUUUUCCGUAAGAUGUUAUGAAGAAACCUGGAUGAACUUUUUGGCCAACCCAAU
ensembl:miRNA bta-mir-2285r bta-mir-2285r